ACUGUGAUGAUUUACUUGAGAAAAGGUUCAUUUUCAGCAGUUAGACACUUGUUCAGAGUGCAGGAGGUUUUUGUACGGCCACUUAAUGAGUUUGUAUCACUGUGGUGGACUUUUGGUGGAGGAACCAAGCUCAUCGUUGACUUGGGUGUGGUGAAGCCCACUCUGACCGUGCUCCCACACCAGAGCAGUGCCACUCUGGUGUGUCUGGCCAGUGGGGGUUUUCCGGCAAAUUGGAAGCUGGGCUGGAAGGUGGGGGGCACCAGUACGUCCUCAGGGGUGUCAAACAGCUUGGAUGCCCAGGGUACAGACGGUCGCUACAGCUGGAGCAGCACCCUGAGCCUCUCUGCAGACCAGUGGAGGAAGGCGGGCUCAGUGAGCUGUGAGGCCAGUCUGAGUGGACAGAGCCCCGUCACUCAAACCCUGGACCCUGACCAC